GCGGAUCAUGCUCGCUCUGCUGACUCCCUUGCCGAGCUUACAAAUAAGGUGGAGAGGUGCACCACUCCGGUGGUGGUGGCCGGGGACUUCAACCUCAUUAGGUGGGCUUCUGAUAAAAGCUUGCCUAAUGUUGAUCGGGUCCAGAUGCGUCUAGUUAACGACUGCAUUGCGGACCUUGCGCUCCGUGAGAUAGCCCGCGUAGGGGCUAGGUUUACGUGGACGAAUAAGCAGGCGGACACCAUCCGGAGUGUGUUAGAUCGGGUCUUUGUGUCGGCUCAGUGGGUAGUGAUGUUCCCAUUGUGCUCUCUCAAGCCAUGA
rnacentral:rRNA from 1 species